rnacentral:lncRNA from 1 species
UUCUGUAAUCAAUGUGACAGAUAUUAUCUCGAUCCUGAGGUGUACGUGUCUCCCGUCUAAAAUUUCCUCUUCAUUUUCUCUUACCCGGCCACUAGCUUUGAAAAUUCUGCUUCUCUAUGUUUUCAUCCUCGACCCCACUCCCCCUCUAAGUUUAGGGUUUCUGAAAUUAUACAAUCUCUCAUCUGUAACUGUACUGCUUCUCUCAAGUGUUUAACUGUUUAAACUAUUCUCACAAGUCAAAGAUUACUUUCCCUUCCCCUUAAUCACUCCUCUCAGUUCAUUUUGCUCUCUUACUUUCCAUUCUCUUGCCCUGUGCUUGUGUUUUCUGAGUUUUGUUCAUUCUCUUCAUUUUCUGGAGUUUGCUCUCUUUCAACAUCUCACUCAAGUGUUCAAUUGCUUAAACUGUAAGCAAACAACACUCUUAGCUGGUACUGAAGAGUUUGCUCUCACUAAAGGUACUCCUCGCACUUGAUUUUCUUUCCUCUUUAUAAGACCUAGAUCUUACUCGGUCCGUGUGAAUUUUUGUUCUGGUACUUUUAUUGAGUUUGCUCCUUCAGGUGAAGUCCACAGGAUGAUACUGUUUAUUUUAAGCGUAAAGGAAGCCCAAUUCAAUACUAUAGUUGCGUGGUCCUUAGUUUUUGAUUAUACUAGCAUUUAACCCGUGCGAGUAUAGAAUUUGUAAUUUAUUAAUUAUAAUUUAAAUUUUAACAUCAUCUUAUUAAUAUUUUUGUAUUAAUGAAUUGGAUUUUAACCAGAUUAUAUUUACUAACUGAUUACCUUUUUUGGACGACUAAAAAUUAUAUCAAUAUCGAUUUAUUAUAAUAUAAUAUAUAAAUUAUAUUUAAAAGAAUAAUGGUGGAGUUUUUAUCUUGUACUACAUCACACGUGUUUGUAAUUUGAUCGGUAUAAAACUCUUUAAUAUUGUAAGAGUAAGAGAAGUUUACAUGUGACACACUUGUAGUUAGAAAGAAGAUGACCAAACCAAAAUUUUGUCCGACAAUAAAUUAAACGUAUGUUGGCCUAUUAUAUAGUACUAGCCUUAAACCCGUGCAAAGCACGGGCGACUAUAUAAUUUUGAAUUUAUUAUAUAUAAUUUAAAUUGAAAUGUCAUUUUAUUAGUGUUUUAAUAUUGAUGAAUUGAAGUUUUAUUCAAUUAUAUUCACUCUUAUAAAUUUAGCUUUAACAAUAUUUUUUUGUAUUGUAAAUUAUUAGUAUAAAUAAUAAAAUCUUUUUUAUUUUUUAACUAAAUAUAAAUUAUAUUUGAAAAAAUAAUGAUGGAGUGUUUAUCUUGUAGUACAUCACAUGUGUUUGUAAUUUAAACUUUAUAAAACUGUUUAAUGAUGUAAGACAAGAGAACUCUACAUGUUGGACUCUAGAGACUUCUAGUUAUAACGGACAUGACCAUACCAAAAUUUUGUACGACUACAAAUUAUACCCAUGUUGGCUUAUUACAGUAUAGUAUAGACUAGCCUUUAACCCGUGCAAAGCACGGGCGCUUAUAUAACUCGUAAUUUAUUAAUUAUAAUUUAAAUCUUAACACCAUUUUAUUAGUAUUUUAGUAUUAAUAAUUUGGAUUUUAGUUAAAUUAUAUUAACCACUGAUUAUAUCUUCUAACGGAAAUUUAACUUUCACAAUUUAUUAUCUAUCUAUAAUUAUUUUCUGAUAUUAAUAUGUGAUAGUUUAUUAUUCAAUUAAUUUUAAAUCAAAAUUUUCAUAUUUCAUAUAUCUUCAUAUUUUACGUAAUGGUUCGUGUUUGUAAUGAAAUAGAACACGUUAGAGUUAAAUUUCGAGUAGAAUACGUUAUGAUUAAAAAGUAGCGUCUCUAAUUAUUUAUAUGUAUUUUAGACAAAAGAUAUUCAAAAUUGUAUAUUUAUAAUUAGUUAUACAUUUAUCUAUAAUUUUUUUUAAUAUUAAUAUAUGUUAUUAACAGUAGUUUCAUCUUUUUCAACUAAUUAUAAAUUAUAUUUAAAAAGAUAUUAAUAUACAUAAGGAGUGUUUUUAGUAUAUGAAACUGUUUAAUAGCUAUCUACAUAUACCAAACCAAAAUUUUGUACGACUACAAAUUAUACCUAUGUUGGCUUUUUAUAGUAUAGUAUAGAUAGAUUGAUAUAAGGAUAUUAUAAUAUCUUUCACCGAAAUAUUAUUAUUUUUAUAUUUGUCGAUUUUUUUCAGUGAACCUGUAAUAGUAUUAUAUGCUGUGACGCUGACAGCUGUUUAUAUAUAUAUUAAAAUAAUUUUUUUAUCAAAUGUUAUUGCACAGUUGCGCAUACACCAAACAGUUCCUGUAUUAGUUUGGAGUCCUGAAUAAUUAGUAUUAAUAAUAUAUCUGUAAGAAAACAUGCAUACAAUUAUACAAAAGGUGAAUUAUAUAAAUAAAUGUUUUGUUUUUGGUUAUUGUAGGGGUUUAUAAUAUUUAAAAAACUAAAUUUUAGUCGACGCUCAAAGACAAACAAUUCAAAUAUGUUAUCAAAUGGAUCCCAGCUUUGGAUUGCUUAGCUUGUAAAGCUCACGAAUUGAACUUAGGGCUUUUUUUAUUCACGUUUUCAAUCUUAUUUCCAAAAAUACUAUCUUAUCCAAUCUUAUUUUCAAAAAUACUACCUUCUCUAAAAUAUUUUCAAAAAUACUGUGGUUGCAUAUGCAACCACCGUAUUUUUGGAAAAUAUUUUCAAAAAAGUAGUAUUUUUGAAAAUUUUUUAGAGAUUUGAAAAUAAGAUUGGAUAAGGUAGUAUUUUUGAAAAUAAUAUUGAAAAAACAAUAUACAGGAUAAUUCCCCUUGAACUUAGCUGUAAUAUUUUUCAUGACAACAUAUAUUUGUAACUUGUAUCCUCGUAUAUUUCAAUAUGAAUACACACUAUAGUUUAAAGAGUCAGAAUGUUUAAGUUUAACUUAUUCUAUUCUAUUCGAACUUUAUAGGUAAAGAAUUUGACAUUUUGGGUUGAAUUUAAGCUAAAUUAGAUUUCUAAGCUCAUGAAAAUGGAGUCCGAAUUUCUUGGCAUGGUAAAGUUCAAACUUUAGUUUGAUAGUGAUGACUAAAAAAGUUAAUUUUAAUCUUAGUUGUCCGUAAAAAUUAUGUUUACUUCAACUACACAUUGCAGAAUAUAUCAAUUUCACCCCAAACAGCCAAACUAGAUCUCGUUUAAAAUUUUUCAUAUAUAUAUAUCUUGUGCUCUCCGCAAACACUUACCCCCUCAGAUUUUAAAAAUAAAAAAAAUCAUGUAGAUUGUUGUAUAUAAUAUUAAAAAUAUACAAUUUUUAUUCUUAUAUAUCUCUUAAUUCCAGGAUUUAAAAUCAUAAUUUUGUUAUUAAAUAAAUUCUUGUAUUGUUUUCACAAAAAGUGAAGGCUUCUCGUAAGCAUCAUUCGCUCAUUACAGUUAAAAAGAAUUUAAUGUGCCCUUCUGUUGCUCAGUUAUGGCUCCGUCCAAAGAGACCCAAAUUAAAUUUAUAAGUGUACACAAAAUCUCUUACGCAAGUAACGUGUCAAAACUCUUGAACAAGGAACACCUCAUCAAAGAGAAAACAUAAAUAAAAAUGUACCAAAUUCUUAAAUUAGGAGGACCUCAUCCAAGAGAAGACACAAUGAGUUCUCUAGCCUAAAAAAGCAGAAACUCGACCUAGAGAUCAUGUUUAAGGUUGGUCUGGUGCUAUUUUUUUUAGUCUGCAAUUGCAAGUUGAGCGGCUUGAAAAGUUACUUAUUACUAUGCUGCACGUACCGAUUUACAAUGUGUGAUUAUGCUCAGAUUCCGCAACUAAGGCCUGUUGACUAAAUUAAUACACAAGAAGCUGGAGUCUUUAAUUAUGAUCAAACACCAUCUUCUCAUGGUUUAAUCUUCAAAACGCAUAAUUACUUCAUCUCCUACUUCGAAAUGAUAUAAUUCGGAGUCGACUAUCGAUAUAUAGUUGUGCAUAAAAUAUUUUUGCAUUAGAUUUUCUUAAUGUACAGUAGCUGAUUUUGCAAAAACGGGUUCAACGAAGGUGGGAUUCUGCGGGGCUCUCGAUUUGUUAUGUAAAUGCAAUGAUAAUGGGAUGACGUCAGGCAGUAUACAUCACUGCUUCCUGGGAAAGCUGGAACACACUGUCUAAUUAUUGUAGGGUUACGGCAAGAUAAUACUCCCUCCGUCCCAGUCAUUUGUAUACAAAUGGCUGGGACACGGAGACCAAGAAAUUGUGUAAGAAAUUAGUAAAGUUAGAUGAAAAGUGGGUAUAGUGGUGUGACCUAUUUAUAUUUAAUAAUAGAUUUGAGAUAGUGGAGGAAAGUAGUGGGUGUAAUAGUGUUUAUAUUAUUAUAGAAUGAAGAUAGUGGAGGAAAGUAGUUGGUGUAAUGAUAUUUUAUAUUAUAAAAAUUUACGACUUUUGGAAUGUAUACAAUUGAUGGGACGUCCCAAAAAGGAAACUGUAUACAAUUCACUGGGACGGAGGGAGUAGUACACUAAUAAUGCACUCCUUGAUAG